rnacentral:rRNA from 1 species
ACGGUACCUGAAGAAUAAGCACCGGCUAACUACGUGCCAGCAGGCGCGGUAAUACGUAGCUUGCGAGCGUUAAUCGGAAUUACUGGGCGUAAAGCGAGCGCAGACGGUUACUUAAGCAGGAUGUGAAAUCCCCGGGCUCAACCUGGGAAACUGCGUUCUGAACUGGGUGACUAGAGUGUGUCAGAGGGAGGUAGAAUUCCACGUGUAGCAGUGAAAUGCGUAGAGAUGUGGAGGAAUACCGAUGGCGAAGGCAGCCUCCUGGGAUAACACUGACGUUCAUGCUCGAAAGCGUGGGUAGCAAACAGGAUUAGAUACCCUGGUAGUCCACGCCCUAAACGAUGUCAAUUAGCUGUUGGGCAACUUGAUUGCUUAGUAGCGUAGCUAACGCGUGAAAUUGACCGCCUGGGGAGUACGGUCGCAAGAUUAAAACUCAAAGGAAUUGACGGGGACCCGCACAAGCGGUGGAUGAUGUGGAUUAAUUCGAUGCAACGCGAAGAACCUUACCUGGUCUUGACAUGUACGGAAUCCUCCAGAGACGGAGGAGUGCCUUCGGGAGCCGUAACACAGGUGCUGCAUGGCUGUCGUCAGCUCGUGUCGUGAGAUGUUGGGUUAAGUCCCGCAACGAGCGCAACCCUUGUCAUUAGUUGCCAUCAUUUAGUUGGGCACUCUAAUGAGACUGCCGGUGACAAGCCGGAGGAAGGUGGGGAUGACGUCAAGUCCUCAUGGCCCUUAUGACCAGGGCUUCACACGUCAUACAAUGGUCGGUACAGAGGGUAGCCAAGCCGCGAGGUGGAGCCAAUCUCACAAAACCGAUCGUAGUCCGGAUUGCACUCUGCAACUCGAGUGCAUGAAGUCGGAAUCGCUAGUAAUCGCAGGUCAGCAUACUGCGGUGAAUACGUUCCCGGGUCUUGUACACACCGCCCGUCACACCAUGGGAGUGGGGGAUACCAGAAGUAGGGUAGGGUAACCGCAAGGAGCCCGCUUA